AUAGUGGCGCACGGGUGCGUAACAUGUAUGCAACCUACCUAUUAUUGGGGGAUAGCCUUUGGAAACGGAGAUUAAUACCGCAUAAUACGAUUGACUGGCAUCGGUUGAUUGUUAAAGCUUCGGCGAUAAUAGAUGGGCAUGCGUCCAAUUAGUUAGUUGGUUAGGUAACGGCUGACCAAGACGAUGAUUGGUAGGGGAUCUGAGAGGAUAAUCCCCCACACUGGCACUGAGAUACGGGCCAGACUCCUACGGGAGGCAGCAGUAGGGAAUAUUGGGCAAUGGGCGGAAGCCUGACCCAGCCAUGCCGCGUGCAGGAAGAAGGCGUUAUGCGUUGUAAACUGCUUUUUUAUAGGAAGAAGGAUCCCUUGCGAGGGAAGGUGACGGUACUAUAAGAAUAAGCACCGGCUAACUCCGUGCCAGCAGCCGCGGUAAUACGGAGGGUGCAAGCGUUGUCCGGAUUUAUUGGGUUUAAAGGGUGCGUAGGCGGUUUAUUAAGUCAGUGGUGAAAGACGGUCGCUCAACGAUUGCAGUGCCAUUGAUACUGGUAGACUUGAGUGA
rnacentral:rRNA from 1 species